AGUGAACGCUGGCGGUAGGCCUAACACAUGCAAGUCGAACGGCAGCACAGUAAGAGCUUGCUCUUACGGGUGGCGAGUGGCGGACGGGUGAGGAAUACAUCGGAAUCUACUUUUUCGUGGGGGAUAACGUAGGGAAACUUACGCUAAUACCGCAUACGACCUACGGGUGAAAGCAGGGGAUCUUCGGACCUUGCGCGAUUGAAUGAGCCGAUGUCGGAUUAGCUAGUUGGCGGGGUAAAGGCCCACCAAGGCGACGAUCCGUAGCUGGUCUGAGAGGAUGAUCAGCCACACUGGAACUGAGACACGGUCCAGACUCCUACGGGAGGCAGCAGUGGGGAAUCUUGGACAAUGGGCGAAAGCCUGAUCCAGCAAUACCGCGUGAGUGAAGAAGGCCUUCGGGUUGUAAAGCCCUUUUGUUGGGAAAGAAAAGCAGCAGGUUAAUACCCCGCUGUUCUGACGGUACCCAAAGAAUAAGCACCGGCUAACUUCGUG
rnacentral:rRNA from 1 species